rnacentral:misc_RNA from 1 species
GAUGAAGAACGUAGCGAAAUGUGAUAACUAAUGUGAAUUGCAGAAUUCCGUGAAUCAUCGAGUCUUUGAACGCACAUUGCGCCCCCUGGUAUUCCGGGGGGCAUGCCUGUCCGAGCGUCAUUGCUGCCCAUCAAGCACGGCUUGUGUGUUGGGUCCUCGUCCCCCCCGGGGGACGUGCCCGAAAGGCAGCGGCGGCACCGCGUCCGGUCCUCGAGCGUAUGGGGCUUUGUCACCCGCUCUGCAGGCCCGGCCGGCGCUGGCCGACGCGAAAGCAACCAUUUUUUCUCCAGGUUGACCUCGGAUCAGGUAGGGAUACCCGCUGAACUUAAGCAUAUCAAUAAGCGGAGGA